rnacentral:rRNA from 1 species
UACGUAGGGGGCAAGCGUUGUCCGGAAUCAUUGGGCGUAAAGAGCUCGUAGGCGGUGUGUCGCGUCGGCCGUGAAAACCUGCAGCUUAACUGUGGGCGUGCGGUCGAUACGGGCAUCACUGGAGUUCGGCAGGGGAGACUGGAAUUCCUGGUGUAGCGGUGAAAUGCGCAGAUAUCAGGAGGAACACCGGUGGCGAAGGCGGGUCUCUGGGCCGAUACUGACGCUGAGGAGCGAAAGCGUGGGGAGCGAACAGG